GAGAGAGAGAGAGAGAGAGAGAGAGAGAGAGCUCCAGAAAAAUCGAUAAAUGCGGCUGAAAUAAACCAUCAAGCACCCGCUGAAACGCCCUGAUAUUAGUGACAGGGUGACCGGGAGGUAUCCGUCUUUUAUUCGGUGACAGAGCUCGAGCAGGUGCCGGUAGUCAAGAUGGGGAACCGGGGGAUGGAGGAUCUGAUUCCUCUGGUGAACCGAAUGCAAGACGCGUUCUCCGCCAUCGGACAGAACGCCGAUCUGGACCUGCCGCAGAUCGCGGUGGUGGGCGGACAGAGCGCCGGGAAGAGCUCCGUGCUCGAGAACUUCGUGGGGAGGGACUUCCUCCCUCGUGGAUCUGGGAUCGUCACCCGUCGUCCCCUGGUCCUGCAGCUCAUCAACUGCCCCACAGAAUAUGCCGAGUUUCUUCACUGUAAGGGGAAGAAGUUUACAGAUUUCGAUGAGAUCCGUCAGGAAAUCGAGGCGGAGACGGAUCGUGUGACGGGGCAGAACAAAGGCAUCUCGCCGGUGCCGAUCAACCUGCGUGUCUACUCACCAAAUGUGUUGAAUCUGACUUUGGUGGAUCUGCCGGGAAUGACUAAAGUUCCUGUGGGCGAUCAGCCCGCUGAUAUUGAGCAUCAGAUCAGAGAUAUGAUCAUGCAGUUUGUGACUAAAGAGAACUGUCUGUUGCUCGCAGUGUCGCCCGCAAACUCUGAUCUCGCCAACUCUGAUGCACUGAAGAUCGCCAAAGAAGUCGACCCGCAGGGUCAGCGUACUAUCGGUGUGAUCACUAAGCUGGAUCUGAUGGAUGAAGGAACCGACGCACGUGACAUCCUGGAAAACAAACUGCUGCCGCUGCGGAGAGGUUACAUUGGUGUGGUGAACCGCAGUCAGAAAGACAUUGAUGGGAAGAAAGAUAUUAACGCUGCGAUGGCGGCAGAGAGAAAGUUCUUCCUGUCUCAUCCCAGUUACAGACACCUGGCCGAUCGCAUGGGAACACCGUACCUGCAGAAAGUCCUCAACCAGCAACUGACCAAUCACAUCCGCGACACGCUGCCCGGGCUGCGCGCAAAACUGCAGAGUCAGCUGCUGUCCAUCGAGAAGGAAGUGGAAGAGUACAAGAACUUCCGUCCAGACGAUCCGUCCCGGAAGACCAAAGCCCUGCUACAAAUGGUUCAGCAGUUCUCUGUGGACUUUGACAAGCGUAUCGAGGGUUCUGGAGAUCAGAUCGACACGUAUGAGCUCUCAGGAGGAGCCAGAAUCAACCGCAUCUUCCAUGAACGAUUUCCAUUCGAGCUGGUGAAGAUGGAGUUUGAUGAGAAGGAGCUGCGUAAGGAGAUCAGUUACGCCAUCAAGAACAUUCACGGCAUCAGAACCGGCCUCUUCACGCCCGACAUGGCCUUUGAGACCAUAGUGAAACGGCAGAUCUCCAAGAUUAAAGAGCCGUGCCAGAAAUGUGUGGACAUGGUCAUUUCUGAGCUUGUCAAUACUGUUAGGCAGUGUACCAAGAAGCUGGCGCAGUAUCCCCUGCUGAGAGAAGAAAUGGAGCGAAUUGUCACACAGCACAUCCGCGACCGCGAGAGCCGCACUAAAGAACAGGUGUUGCUGUUGAUUGACAUCGAGCUGGCAUACAUGAACACCAAUCAUGAAGACUUCAUCGGAUUUGCCAAUGCUCAACAGAGAAGCAAUCAAAUGAGCAAGAAGAAAGCAGCUGGCAAUCAGGAUGAAAUCAUGGUGAUCAGGAAGGGCUGGCUGACCAUCAACAACAUCGGCAUCAUGAAGGGCGGAGCUAAAGAGUAUUGGUUUGUCCUGACGGCCGAAUCGCUGUCCUGGUACAAGGAUGAUGAGGAGAAGGAGAAGAAGUACAUGCUGCAGGUGGAUAAUCUGAAGCUCAGAGAUGUGGAGAAAGGCUUCAUGUCCAGCAAACACAUCUUUGCCCUGUUCAACACUGAGCAGAGGAACGUGUAUAAGGACUACCGUCAGCUGGAGUUGGCGUGUGAAAGUCAGGAGGACGUGGAUGGAUGGAAGGCCUCAUUCCUGCGUGCUGGCGUUUACCCUGAAAGAGUGGUGGAGAAGGAGAAGAGUGACACUAGUGAAGAGAACGGUUCGGAUGGUUUCAUGCACUCUAUGGAUCCUCAGUUGGAGCGGCAGGUGGAGACCAUCCGUAACCUGGUGGACUCUUACAUGGCCAUCGUCAACAAGACCGUGCGAGAUCUGAUGCCCAAAACCAUCAUGCAUCUGAUGAUCAUUAAUACGAAAGAGUUCAUUAAUGCGGAGCUGUUAGCGCAGUUGUACUCGUGCAGCGAUCAGAACACACUGAUGGAGGAGUCCGCCGAACAGGCGCAGCGGCGCGAUGAGAUGUUGCGCAUGUACUUCGCCCUUAAAGAAGCGCUCAACAUCAUCGGUGACAUCAGCACCACCACCGUCUCCACGGCACUGCCGCCACCUGUAGAUGACUCCUGGCUGCAGGUGCAACGUACAGGCUCAGGGGGACGGUCUCCCGCCACCAGCCCGACCCCUCAGAGACGAGCUCCUCCUCCAGGGCCUCCAGGACGCCCAGGAUCUCGCGGCUCUGCCCCGGGCCCCCCUGCUGUAGGUGGACCGCCUGUUCCCUCUCGCCCGGGGGCCUCUCCGGACCCCUCCAGCGGGCCACCCCCUCAGGUCCCAUCCCGGCCUAACCGCGCUCCCCCCAGCGUGCCCAGCCGCGGAAUGUGAGACGCUAACCAGUGGAAUAAGUGCAUUGUUGUGGAAUCACAAUCAGUGAUCAAUGAGGACUGACUCUUCUGCCGACGACCCCCGCCAUCACCUUCUCGACCCAACAGACCCACAGACUCCUCCCUCUUAGACUAUUAGCUCCUCCCAUACCUGUGACAGACAGCGAGGACAGACACACCCACCCAUCCAGAACUCCUCCCCCUUCCUGCUUCUCAUCUUACACACUCAAAUACACACUCUAGACAGCACAACAACUCUAGAACUGUGUAACUUAUUAUUCGGAGAAUUAUUUCAGUUUUUAUCGUAACUUACAUUUGGUCGUUCUCAUGCAACAUCUACAAGCAAACAUGCCGACUUCAUCAGCUGCUGUAUGUUCCUUCAAAUCAUAUCUAACACAUGCCAUGCAUAAGGAAUGUUUAUGAACACAAACCAUAAACUGACUAAAAAUAAGCUGGCAAGAAAGCAUUAAGAGGGUGAAAAAGAGGGUUUGAUAAAUGCUUUUCUCUCCGAUUUCUGUUGCUUUAUUAUCUGUCAUCUUUUACUUUAUUCCCUGCAGUGUGAACGGUGCAUAACAGAUGCACACUCUCUCAAUCAGAUGCAUUAUCUCUCCUGGGUGUUCGCUGGAGUUCUCACGAUAACUGCAUCUCUGGAAUGUGCUUGUUUAUUUGUAUUCCUCUACAUUAUUUUUGCCUCUUUUUGUUUUUGUGUUGUGUUUCGGCUGCAGCGCUCCCUGAACUCACUGGCCAGAAGACGACACCAAACGCCCAUGAAGGCCGGCCAAACAAGGGUGACCCCUCUCACCCCGAGAGCUUUAGCAUCUCCUCAUCACUUCUCCUCUACUUUCUGCUUCUCUUUUUUUCUCUCAUCUCACCCUGAACUGAGUAAAACAACCCAGAACCCACCAGCACAACAGAACCACCCUGAACACUGGACAACAGCGUGAAAGAACAUAAAGGAACCGGCAAACCUUUCUGAUGUUCUCUGCAUCUUCUUUCCUGCAUCAGCGGUGGAGAAGUGCAUUCCAUCAGUUGCCCGCUCAUGGUGUCUCUUAUUCGGUUUAACGUUCCUCAACAUUCAAGCCCAUUGUGAUAGUCCACAACCCUCAAACCCAUUAUGAAUCAUGUUAUCCAACGGUUCCCAAACAUGUUCCUGGAGUCUCCCUUAUCUGACACAGUCAUUUCGGGUCAUGGAGGCUCCACUAAUGAGCUGAUGAGUUCAGUCAGGUGGGUUUGAGUAUGGGAGACAUCUACAUUGUGUUUGGAAACCGCCAUUUAUUCUCGUUAGAUGUUAUAACGAUGUGAUUAAAAGCGUUCAGGUACAGAAUGAGGAUGUGUGUUCACUCUAUGGUAAGCCCUUUCGACAUUUAAUCACAAGAAAUCGACAAUAUUAAAGUGAAAUAUGUUAGUUAAAAUGCUCAUUCUUGAUAUCAGCAAUGGAAAUACAAAUUGAAGUGUUUAUUUCUACAAAAACGACAUCAAUACUCUCAGAAAUUACCAUUCUUUAUAUCAAAAAACAAUUCUUGAUAACCUAUCUGUAACUGCAUUUUCACUAUUAGAUAGGAGUCAUUCACUCCUAUUCAAAACGCAAUUACAGAUAUAUAAAAUUAUAAGAAUAUUUAACCUAUUUCUUUAAGAUUUACGCAUUCUAAUUUCAUAACAAAAUUCCAUCAAAUUGAAUUGUGUGAUUUUCUUUCAAAAUUACAUCAAUAAAACUUUAAAUAUUUGUGUUAAUGCCAACAGCAUACAUUUUGCCAAAGGUGUGUAUUUUGGGGGGAAUUUUGAUAUUUCAACCUCAGUUCCUAUAAUACAUCUAUAAUACACUAUGUACACAAAAUAGUUCCACUCACGACCUUCAGGACAAAAAUGUCCCCAUUGAAACCCAUUAAAACUGCAAUAUUUGAUCCCAGUGCCAUUAAAGCAUAAAAUCAUGAAUUCUAUGAUAUUAUGCUUUCAUUCCGGAGCCCUGGCUUCAAAAUUUACAUUUGUAAUAUUUUCCACCAGAUGGCGCCAUUUUUCACAUGUUUAGCCUAUGGAGCAAAUACAUGCUUUUCCCCUAUUUUCUGUUUGCUGUAUUAUAGAGCACUGCAGGACAAUUGAAUAAAUGAUGCAGAUAAAAUUGUGUGUGUGUGUUGGUAUGAAUGUCAGAGUGUGUAUGUGUGUAUUGAGAAAUGUGUGUUUGUCUAAAAAACAACAGUGGCAUUAUGUAAACAAACUGGCAUUUAAAGGGUUAAAAUCCUGAAAAUGAAUGAAUAUUUGGUAGUUAUGAUCAGGACUGAUGUUGGUUAAACAAUCUAAGUCAGUGAAAGUGGAAAAUAAUAUUCAUAUAUAAUAUUAUUAUGGCAGUUUUUUGACGCAGACAUUUUUGUCCUCCAAGGACCUCCGAGUAACUUUUUUUUAUUGACGCACAAGGGUUAAAGUUUACUCUAUUCAAUCUGGGGGGAGGGGGUGGGGUGUUGGUGCGAAGGUGCAGUGAGAAAGUGCGAGCGCAAGGCAAUCAACUGUGUUGCUACUGGGUCCUUGAAAAAUGUAUAACACGCGAGUAAAGGCACCCGCUGGAGUUCCUGGUGCCCCCCGAGGGAGUUGGUGCAGGGAGCAGCGGUACUGCAGAUAUCUAAAAUACCAAAUCUAACAUGUUGAAAUAAAUUUACACAUAUUUGUAACUUAACUGUUGAUAUUUGAUAUAUACAAAAAGGAUUAUUUUUACUAGUAAGACGUGCAUUGUUAAUAUGCUAAAUUAGAAUUUCAACUAGUACGAAAUUAAUGAUAAAUACCUGUAAUUGCGUUUUGAACAGGAGCGAAAUUAUGAAAUUAUAUUAGUGACAAUGCAGUUGCAGAUAUAAAAAUGAUUUGAAAUUCCUUUUUUUAUAUAAAGAAUUAACGCUUUAUACUAGUGCAAAUGUAAUUCCUAAUGUCAAAAAUUUGCAAUUAGUGUAAAUCAAAUCCUGCACAGGAUUAAAUGUCAAUUUGGCUUGCCAUAUUCACCCUCUCUGAGUGAGUUCAGAAAACAUAUAGUGAAAUCAGUUGCUUUAGCGAGGCUGGAUUGAACUGAAGAGUGCAAUAUAAAUACAUUGAUCAGUCGUAUUUACACGCUGAUCACCAAUUCAUGACAUUUAAAACAUAAUAGAGCAGUGUUUGGGUGAACAGACAUUCUCAAGUUGUGUGUUUAUAGAAAUUGUUGAUUUCAUUUAAUGUAAAGUGAAUAGUCUGUGUGAUACUAAUAAUUAUUGAGCAUUCAGGCCCCUCACAUUCACUGUAUGGCAAAUUCAGACUUUAUAACAUGUGUGUAUUUAUCGCAUCAGUCACAGGUUAGUCUGGUUAUCCACACACAGGCUGUGUUUAGAAUGGAAUAAGCUACUAGCAUACUGCGCAGUAUAUACUAUUUUUAAAAAGUAGUAUGUGAAACAGUAUGCAUUAUCCAAUGCUAAACAUUUCAGGCAGUGUAUGCUGUUCCUAACACAGAUUGGAUUAAAUAAUUUGUAAACGAUUUCACCGUUUUGCGAACUUUUACGUCACAUACGCAUUAAUCUGUUAACUCCGUUUUCAGUUUCCUAACGUCAUCGUUUUUCAAAGUAUGUGGCAGUGGAGGAAACUCCAUUCUAGUGUGAACGAGAGGCAUAAACGUUGCUAAAUGAAUGCAUUUUCUAACGAAAACAGAUUAAGCCACGCCCACGUUUGAAAAUGCAUUCAUUUUGCAACAUUUACCCAUGAAAACAGCAUUUCGAAAACACUAUAUGACCUCAUACUUUGGAAAAUGAUGACGUUAGGAAACGGAAACGGAUUAGUGUGGACGUGGGCUUUUGUCUUUGAAACAGACCACGCCCCCAUUACUUCAGCCACACCUCUCUUUCCAAAACCCCGCCCUCCAGUGACAUCAGCCAGCCCAGUAUCAGCAAAACCGAACGCACAAAAUGAUCGACAGUUAUUGUUUUCUGAUAGAUAUGUAAAUAAUUGUAGCCACUGUUAAAAUACAUUUUAAUACUUUCGCCUAUUCAGAGUUCAAAUUCAAAAUCGUUAAAAUAAAGAACCUUUAUACUCGACACUAAUGCGGUCGACUUUAUCUCUGUGUGUGGAUAAACCGUUCCGGUACGAGAUGUGCAUUAAAAAUAUGCAAGUCAAUUUCAAAUCUGAUUUUACUUGUUUGUUUGUGAUCAAGAUUUAGCAAAUGAAUAAAUAUCACUGCUGGUCUAUGCAUAGAAAUCCAUAAAGUUUGUUCAGAUGUCGUUUGUUUUGCUGAUAGUGAGAAAAUAUAAGCGCAACCCUCCACACCAGUGAACUGUAUUUCGUUGUUUGUUGUAAUAAUUACUGUACUCAAGGGUGGAGAUUGGGCUUGAACACUGGGGGGGUUACAGUGUGAAGAAUGUACAUGUUUCCAUGGGGGGGGGGUUGUACUUGCUUGUUUUUAUUAUUGGAGGAAGGGGUUACCUCCCCCCCACCCCCCCUGGAAUCUACGCCCCUGACUAUACUGAUAAUAUAAAUAAUAAUGCCCCUGUUGGUAGUUCACAUUGUGGCAUGACAAAACCUGUCUGCGGUUGCAACUGUGCCGUAUCAGUAGUAUGUUUCUGUAUAUUUAUCUUCACUACUAUACACGCAAAAUCUUUCCUGACCGCACUGAAUUCCCUCCGAGUCUUAGUAAAACCCAAUAAUGAGAGAACAAGUACCGUUAUUUAAGAGUAAACCAUUAAUCAUGGACAUAUCUUAAGUGUGUUACGUGUCUUUGUGGUGCAUUAAAUGCAAAUUGUGCUUCCACUGUUUAGAGAAUAGUGUAGUCCACAUGUACUGAAUAUUAAAGUGAUUUAUUUAAAUUAAAUGUGUAAUAAUGUGCAUACAAAUAAUGGUGUGGUGCAAACUGGGCCUCUUUCUGUGUUUGGAAAGAAAGGUGUAAUGAGACUGGGUGUGUAACAGGUGACAGAAUGAGUGUGUGUAUUAAUGUGUCCUGCUGUUGAUUGGACGAGAUUGUCGAGCAGGACUUUGUCAUCAAUAAAGUUAAGUGUAC